CAGGAGGCUGGGCCUGCCUGAGCGGCCUUGCCUAGGUCUCUGCCCCCUCAGGCAUCUGAACAGGCACUCUGGAGGACCCGUAGCCAGCACUGUACCCUGCCCAGCCCUUACCUGGCUGUGACGGCCUUUGGCCGUGUGGAGGGAAAGGCUCCCACCCCAGGAAGCACUGAUGGAGGCCUCUGUUUUUAAGUGGUUCUGGGAAGCAGGUGCAGCAUUUCUGUGCAUACCAACCUGACGGCUUCCAAGCACCAGGCUCUGCGACUCUGCCUGAGGACUUCCUCUGGCCACGGAACGCCAGGCCUCAUGUGACACAAGAAGUCCACCAGGGAGCUAAUGUCCAUUCCCCAAGGCAUAUCCCAGCCAGUGAAUGGGGAUACAAACCCCAGCUCCUUCACCUCUUAGUGGAACAACUCUUUGGCAUGUUCUAUAGGGUCACCCAGAAUUCAUCAGUGGAACUGAGCCUGGCUAGGCACGCCGGAAACCUGCUCCAUGACACACCUCCUGUUGGCUUCUUCCUUCCCUGCAUCAGCUCCAUGAAGAAUCCUCUGAUCUCUUUUCAAAUAAACCACUUGUCUCAAA